UUCCUUGAUUGUCAUGUACAGCAAAAUUAUUUUCUCAUUCGAUUUCGAGCAUAUACGUUCCAUAAAAUAAGUUGUUUCAAAUAAUAUUUCCGUGGAAUCCAUUUAUUACAAUAACGUUCUACUAAACUUGACUAGUUCGACUGCAACUUAGAUUUUUCCGUUGUAGACAUUUUUCCUGGCGGCUUGAACUAUCAAGCACUGGCUGUUGUUUGUAAAUAUAUGGAAUUUUCGAUGAAUGUCUAGAAAUUUUCAGAAUGAACUCCUUAGAUGAAUGGAUUUUAUAUUGAAAGUUGACUAUAGCUUUACAUGACUCCGGCAACAGUUGAUGAUCCGAAAACCUUUUACAUGGAUGAAUACAGAGUAGCUGACACGAAAUAUUAUUAAUUCAAACGAUCACAUUUUUAUUUAGAAAUAUUAAAAUUACAAGAAUCCAUUCACUUUUACUCGAUAA